UACGUAGGUGGCGAGCGUUGUCCGGAAUUACUGGGCGUAAAGGGUGCGUAGGCGGUUAUUUAAGUCAGAUGUGAAAUUCCGGGGCUCAACUUCGGAAUUGCAUUUGAAACUGGGUAGCUAGAGUGCAGGAGAGGGAAGCGGAAUUCCUAGUGUAGCGGUGAAAUGCGUAGAUAUUAGGAAGAACACCAGUGGCGAAGGCGGCUUCCUGGACUGUAACUGACGCUGAUGCACGAAAGCGUGGGGAGCAAACAGGAUUAGAUACCCUGGUAGUCCACGCUGUAAACGAUGAGUGCUAGGUGUAGGGGGUAUCGACACCCUCUGUGCCGCAGUAAACGCAAUAAGCACUCCGCCUGGGGAGUACGGUCGCAAGACUAAA
rnacentral:rRNA from 1 species